rnacentral:rRNA from 1 species
GACGAACGCUGGCGGCGUGCUUAACACAUGCAAGUCGAACGGAAAGGCCCUGCUUUUGUGGGGUGCUCGAGUGGCGAACGGGUGAGUAACACGUGAGUAACCUGCCCUUGACUUUGGGAUAACUUCAGGAAACUGGGGCUAAUACCGGAUAGGAGCUCCUGCUGCAUGGUGGGGGUUGGAAAGUUUCGGCGGUUGGGGAUGGACUCGCGGCUUAUCAGCUUGUUGGUGGGGUAGUGGCUUACCAAGGCUUUGACGGGUAGCCGGCCUGAGAGGGUGACCGGCCACAUUGGGACUGAGAUACGGCCCAGACUCCUACGGGAGGCAGCAGUGGGGAAUAUUGCACAAUGGGCGGAAGCCUGAUGCAGCAACGCCGCGUGCGGGAUGACGGCCUUCGGGUUGUAAACCGCUUUCGCCUGUGACGAAGCGUGAGUGACGGUAAUGGGUAAAGAAGCACCGGCUAACUACGUGCCAGCAGCCGCGGUGAUACGUAGGGUGCGAGCGUUGUCCGGAUUUAUUGGGCGUAAAGGGCUCGUAGGUGGUUGAUCGCGUCGGAAGUGUAAUCUUGGGGCUUAACCCUGAGCGUGCUUUCGAUACGGGUUGACUUGAGGAAGGUAGGGGAGAAUGGAAUUCCUGGUGGAGCGGUGGAAUGCGCAGAUAUCAGGAGGAACACCAGUGGCGAAGGCGGUUCUCUGGGCCUUUCCUGACGCUGAGGAGCGAAAGCGUGGGGAGCGAACAGGCUUAGAUACCCUGGUAGUCCACGCUGUAAACGGUGGGUACUAGGUGUGGGGUCCGUUCCACGGGUUCCGUGCCGUAGCUAACGCUUUAAGUACCCCGCCUGGGGAGUACGGCCGCAAGGCUAAAACUCAAAGGAAUUGACGGGGCCCCGCACAAGCGGCGGAGCAUGCGGAUUAAUUCGAUGCAACGCGUAGAACCUUACCUGGGUUUGACAUGGAUCGGGAGUGCUCAGAGAUGGGUGUGCCUCUUUUGGGGUCGGUUCACAGGUGGUGCAUGGCUGUCGUCAGCUCGUGUCGUGAGAUGUUGGGUUAAGUCCCGCAACGAGCGCAACCCUUGUUCACUGUUGCCAGCACGUUAUGGUGGGGACUCAGUGGAGACCGCCGGGGUCAACUCGGAGGAAGGUGGGGAUGACGUCAAGUCAUCAUGCCCCUUAUGUCCAGGGCUUCACGCAUGCUACAAUGGCUGGUACAGAGAGUGGCGAGCCUGUGAGGGUGAGCGAAUCUCGGAAAGCCGGUCUCAGUUCGGAUUGGGGUCUGCAACUCGACCUCAUGAAGUCGGAGUCGCUAGUAAUCGCAGAUCAGCAACGCUGCGGUGAAUACGUUCCCGGGGCC